rnacentral:rRNA from 1 species
UGAGCGGGAGAGCUCAAAUUUGUAAUCUGGCACUUUCAGUGUCCGAGUUGUAAUCUCGAGAAGUAUUUUCCGCGCCGGACCGCAUACAAGUCUGUUGGAAUACAGCGUCAUAGUGGUGAGAACCCCGUAACUGAUGCGGAUGCCCGGUGCUUUGUGAUAUACUUUCGAAGAGUCGAGUUGUUUGGGAAUGCAGCUCAAAUUGGGUGGUAAAUUCCAUCUAAAGCUAAAUAUUGGAGCAAGACCGAUAGCGAACAAGUACCGUGAGGGAAAGAUGAAAAGCACUUUGGAAAGAGAGUUAACAGUACGUGAAAU